CAAUAGCGUAUAUUAAAGUUGUUGCAGUUAAAAAGCUCGUAGUUGGAUUUCUGGUGGGAGCGAUCGGUCUGGCGCUUUGCGCGAGUACUUGCAUCGUCUCCGGCCAUCCUUGGGGAGAGUCUGUCUGGCAUUAAGUUGUCGGGCAGAGGAUCCUCAUCGUUUACUGUGAAAAAAUUAGAGUGUUCAAAGCAGGCUUAUGCCGUUGAAUAUAUUAGCAUGGAAUAAUAAGAUAGGACUUUGGUACUAUUUUGUUGGUUUGCGCACCAAAGUAAUGAUUAAUAGGGACAGUUGGGGGUAUUCGUAUUCCGUUGUCAGAGGUGAAAUUCUUGGAUUUACGGAAGACGAACUACUGCGAAAGCAUUUACCAAGGAUGUUUUCAUUAA
rnacentral:rRNA from 1 species